rnacentral:rRNA from 1 species
CGGAGGGUGCAAGCGUUAUCCGGAUUCACUGGGUUUAAAGGGUGCGUAGGCGGGCAGGUAAGUCAGUGGUGAAAUCUCAGAGCUUAACUCUGAAACUGCCAUUGAUACUAUCUGUCUUGAAUUCUCUGGAGGUGAGCGGAAUAUGUCAUGUAGCGGUGAAAUGCUUAGAUAUGACAUAGAACACCAAUUGCGUAGGCAGCUCACUACGGAGUCAUUGACGCUGAGGCACGAAAGCGUGAGGAUCAAACAGGAUUAGAUACCCUGGUAGGUUCACGCCCUAAACGAUGGAUACUCGACAUACGCGAUACACAGUGUGUGUCUCGAGCGAAAGCAUUAAGUAUCCCACUGGGAAGUACGACCGCGAAGGUUG